UGGGGAAUAUUGCACAAUGGGGGAAACCCUGAUGCAGCGACGCCGCGUGAGCGAAGAAGGCUUUCGAGUCGUAAAGCUCUGUCCUAUGAGAAGAUAAUGACGGUAUCAUAGGAGGAAGCCCUGGCUAAAUACGUGCCAGCAGCCGCGGUAAUACGUAUGGGGCGAGCGUUGUCCGGAAUUAUUGGGCGUAAAGGGUACGUAGGCGGUUUUUUAAGUCAGGUGUCAAAGCGUGGAGCUUAACUCCAUUAAGCACUUGAAACUGAAAGACUUGAGUGAAGGAGAGGAAAGUGGAAUUCCUAGUGUAGCGGUGAAAUGCGUAGUUAUUAGGAGGAAUACCGGUGGCGAAGGCGACUUUCUGGACUUUUACUGACGCUCAGGUACGAAAGCGUGGGGAGCAAACAGG
rnacentral:rRNA from 1 species